rnacentral:rRNA from 1 species
GAUGAACGCUGGCGGCGUGCCUAAUACAUGCAAGUCGAGCGAACGGACGAGAAGCUUGCUUCUCUGAUGUUAGCGGCGGACGGGUGAGUAACACGUGGAUAACCUACCUAUAAGACUGGGAUAACUUCGGGAAACCGGAGCUAAUACCGGAUGAUAUUUUGAACCGCAUGGUUCAAAAGUGAAAGACGGUCUUGCUGUCACUUAUAGAUGGAUCCGCGCUGCAUUAGCUAGUUGGUAAGGUAACGGCUUACCAAGGCAACGAUGCAUAGCCGACCUGAGAGGGUGAUCGGCCACACUGGAACUGAGACACGGUCCAGACUCCUACGGGAGGCAGCAGUAGGGAAUCUUCCGCAAUGGGCGAAAGCCUGACGGAGCAACGCCGCGUGAGUGAUGAAGGUCUUCGGAUCGUAAAACUCUGUUAUUAGGGAAGAACAUAUGUGUAAGUAACUGUGCACAUCUUGACGGUACCUAAUCAGAGAGCCACGGCUAACUACGUGCCAGCAGCCGCGGUAAUACGUAGGUGGCAAGCGUUAUCCGGAAUUAUUGGGCGUAAGCGCGCGUAGGCGGUUUUUUAAGUCUGAUGUGAAAGCCCACGGCUCAACCGUGGAGGGUCAUUGGAAACUGGAAAACUUGAGUGCAGAAGAGGAAAGUGGAAUUCCAUGUGUAGCGGUGAAAUGCGCAGAGAUAUGGAGGAACACCAGUGGCGAAGGCGACUUUCUGGUCUGUAACUGACGCUGAUGUGCGAAAGCGUGGGGAUCAAACAGGAUUAGAUACCCUGGUAGUCCACGCCGUAAACGAUGAGUGCUAAGUGUUAGGGGGUUUCCGCCCCUUAGUGCUGCAGCUAACGCAUUAAGCACUCCGCCUGGGGAGUACGACCGCAAGGUUGAAACUCAAAGGAAUUGACGGGGACCCGCACAAGCGGUGGAGCAUGUGGUUUAAUUCGAAGCAACGCGAAGAACCUUACCAAAUCUUGACAUCCUUUGACAACUCUAGAGAUAGAGCCUUCCCCUUCGGGGGACAAAGUGACAGGUGGUGCAUGGUUGUCGUCAGCUCGUGUCGUGAGAUGUUGGGUUAAGUCCCGCAACGAGCGCAACCCUUAAGCUUAGUUGCCAUCAUUAAGUUGGGCACUCUAAGUUGACUGCCGGUGACAAACCGGAGGAAGGUGGGGAUGACGUCAAAUCAUCAUGCCCCUUAUGAUUUGGGCUACAUACGUGCUACAAUGGACAAUACAAAGGGCAGCGAAACCGCGAGGUCAAGCAAAUCCCAUAAAGUUGUUCUCAGUUCGGAUUGUAGUCUGCAACUCGACUACAUGAAGCUGGAAUCGCUAGUAAUCGUAGAUCAGCAUGCUACGGUGAAUACGUUCCCGGGUCU